CCCAAAUGUUUGUCCUUGAAAGCUGUCAAGUUAUAAUGGAAAUUAUAUAGCUUUUUAAAAUUUCAUUUUAGAGGAGCUAUAAUGGAAAUUAUAAUAUAGCUUUUUAAAAUUUCAUUUUAAUCAUCUGCUUCCUGGUGUAGUGAAACAAUCUUGGAAUAGUUUGAAACUUACCUGGGUCAGCCAGCCCUUUUAAUUUCAUCCAAAU